rnacentral:rRNA from 1 species
CACGUAGGGGGCGAGCGUUGUCCGGAAUUACUGGGCGUAAAGGGCGCGCAGGCUGUUAUGCGAGUCUGCUGUGAAAUGUACCGGCUCAACCGGUGCCUUGCGGCGGAUACUGCAUAGCUGGAGUACUGGAGAGGGAAGUGGAAUUCCUGGUGUAGCGGUGAAAUGCGUAGAUAUCAGGAGGAACUCCGGUGGCGAAGGCGACUUCCUGGCACAAGACUGACGCUCAUGUGCGAAAGCUAGGGUAGCGAACGGGAUUA